GCAAGUCGAACGGAAGUUUAAGCAAUUAAACUUUAGUGGCGAACGGGUGAGUAACGCGUAAGCAAUCUGCCCCUAAGACGAGGAUAACAGUUGGAAACGACUGCUAAGACUGGAUAGGAGACAAGAAGGCAUCUUCUUGUUUUUAAAAGACCUAGCAAUAGGUAUGCUUAGGGAGGAGCUUGCGUCACAUUAGUUAGUUGGUGGGGUAAAGGCCUACCAAGACUAUGAUGUGUAGCCGGGCUGAGAGGUUGAACGGCCACAUUGGGACUGAGACACGGCCCAAACUCCUACGGGAGGCAGCAGUAGGGAAUUUUCGGCAAUGGAGGAAACUCUGACCGAGCAACGCCGCGUGAACGAUGAAGUAUUUCGGUACGUAAAGUUCUUUUAUUAGGGAAGAAUAAAUGAUGGAAAAAUCAUUCUGACGGUACCUAAUGAAUAAGCCCCGGCUAACUAUGUGCCAGCAGCCGCGGUAAUACAUAGGGGGCAAGCGUUAUCCGGAAUUAUUGGGCGUAAAGGGUGCGUAGGCGGUUAAAUAAGUUUAUGGUCUAAGUGCAAUGCUCAACAUUGUGAUGCUAUAAAAACUGUUUAGCUAGAGUAAGAUAGAGGCAAGUGGAAUUCCAUGUGUAGUGGUAAAAUGCGUAAAUAUAUGGAGGAACACCAGUAGCGAAGGCGGCUUGCUGGGUCUUUACUGACGCUGAGGCACGAAAGCGUGGGGAGCAAACAGGAUUAGAUACCCUGGUAGUCCACGCCGUAAACGAUGAGUACUAAACGUUGGGUAAAACCAGUGUUGAAGUUAACACAUUAAGUACUCCGCCUGAGUAGUACGUACGCAAGUAUGAAACUUAAAGGAAUUGACGGGACUCCGCACAAGCGGUGGAUCAUGUUGUUUAAUUCGAAGGUACCCGAAAAACCUCACCAGGUCUUGACAUGCUUCUGCAAAGCUGUAGAAACACAGUGGAGGUUAUCAGUUGCACAGGUGGUGCAUGGUUGUCGUCAGCUCGUGUCGUGAGAUGUUGGGUUAAGUCCCGCAACGAGCGCAACCCUUAUUGUUAGUUACCAGCACGUAAUGGUGGGGACUUUAGCAAGACUGCCAGUGAUAAAUUGGAGGAAGGUGGGGACGACGUCAAAUCAUCAUGCCCCUUAUGACCUGGGCUACAAACGUGAUACAAUGGCUGUUACAAAGGGUAGCUGAAGCGCAAGUUUUUGGCGAAUCUCAAAAAAACAGUCUCAGUUCGGAUUGAAGUCUGCAACUCGACUUCAUGAAGUUGGAAUCGCUAGUAAUCGCGAAUCAGCAUGUCGCGGUGAAUACGUUCUCGGGGUUUGUACACACCGCCCGUCAAACCACGAAAGUUGGCAAUACCCAAAGCCGGUGGCCUAACUUCGCAAGAAGAGGGAACCGUCUAAGGUAGGGUCGAUGAUUGGGGUUAAG
rnacentral:rRNA from 1 species